rnacentral:lncRNA from 1 species
AGAACCAUGUAGUCUAUAGGAAGGGAUGUAAAAAUAUGUCAAUAAUGGCAAAAUUUUAAUACUAAUUAAAUAUUUCAUUCAGAAUUUCAAAAUUGAGUUUAGAAACUUAUUGAAAUUUCUUACAAUUUUUGUAAGAAAAUCUUGAUACUUUCAGGUUGUCAUCUAUCUAUUGUUUUUGUCAUUAUAUUUGGGUUUUUUACAAGCCAAAAUCCAAGAGCUAACAAAUACAAGGUUAGCAUGUUAAAUGAAAUGUAAAAUUGUUAUUUUAAUCCAGAUAAUUGGACCUGUAUUCAACUAUCAUAAGUAAUAAAUACAAACUUAGAUCUAGGCACUAAAUUAUCUAAUUGAAUAUAUCUUAAUGAAAAUAUGUCAGUUUCACCUACAUAUCAAUAUACAUGUGCAUUUGUAUUUGACCACUUAGUCCACAUUCAUAGUCUGUUUCAGCAUCUACAGAUGUAUAAAGAAAGACAAGUGUAACUAAAUCAAUGGCAGUUCAAUCAAAUAAUGUAGUUAGCAUUUCAUUUCGCACAUUUGGCUGAUUGAAAUAGGGAAACAGAAUAUCAGAAAAGGUGCCAAACCCAUUCUUAGAUUUGCCCUAACUUAACAUGAUGCUCAGUGCAGUACCGUUUGUGUAUAGACUGACACUUAAACCAGAUCUUUAUUUUUGCUUUUGUGUGAAUUUGUCUCUAUUCUUCAUUCUUGUUUUUGGAUGAGGCAAUGGUUGAAUUCUUGAUGAAAGGAAAUAGGAAUUACAGGAGCACUUCACAGAUUAAGUUUAGGUGAAGAAAAAAAUCUGCCAGAAGGGGUUGGGGAUUUAGCUCAGUGGUAGAGUG